GACGAACGCUGGCGGCGUGCCUAAUACAUGCAAGUUGAGCGAUGAAGAUUGGUGCUUGCACCAAUUUGAAGAGCAGCGAACGGGUGAGUAACGCGUGGGGAAUCUGCCUUUGAGCGGGGGACAACAUUUGGAAACGAAUGCUAAUACCGCAUAACAACUUUAAACAUAAGUUUUAAGUUUGAAAGAUGCAAUUGCAUCACUCAAAGAUGAUCCCGCGUUGUAUUAGCUAGUUGGUGAGGUAAAGGCUCACCAAGGCGAUGAUACAUAGCCGACCUGAGGGUGAUCGGCCACAUUGGGACUGAGACACGGCCCAAACGCCUACGGGAGGCAGCAGUAGGGAAUCUUCGGCAAUGGACGAAAGUCUGGCCGAGCAACGCCGCGUGAGUGAAGAAGGUUUUCGGGUCGGAAAACUCUGUUGGUAGAGAAGAACGUUGGUGAGAGUGGAAAGCGCAGCAAGUGACGGUAACUACCCAGAAAGGGACGGCUAACUACGUG
rnacentral:rRNA from 1 species